rnacentral:rRNA from 1 species
GAUCCUGGCUCAGAUUGAACGCUGGCGGCGUGCUUUAACACAUGCAAGUCGAGCGGUAACAGGUGUAGCAAUACAUGCUGACGAGCGGCGAACGGGUGAGUAAUGCUUCGGAAUCUUCCUCGUAGUGGGGAAUAACCUGGGGAAACUCAGGCUAAUACCGCAUACGAACUACGGUUGAAAGCAGGGGAUCGCAAGACCUUGCGCUAUGAGAUGAGCCGAAGUCGGAUUAGCUAGUUGGUGAGGUAACGGCUCACCAAGGCGACGAUCCGUAGCUGGUCUGAGAGGACGACCAGCCACACUGGGACUGAGACACGGCCCAGACUCCUACGGGAGGCAGCAGUGGGGAAUAUUGGACAAUGGGGGCAACCCUGAUCCAGCGACGCCGCGUGUGUGAAGAAGGCCUGCGGGUUGUAAAGCACUUUUAGUGGGGAUGAAAAGCCGAAGGCUAAUACCUUUCGGUCUUGACCUAACCCAAAGAAAAAGCACCGGCUAACUCUGUG